rnacentral:rRNA from 1 species
UUUUAAGUAUGAAAAGGGCUUAUGGUGGAUGCCUAGGCACCAUCAGGCGAUGAAGGACGCGGCAAGCAGCGAUAACCUCGGGUAGGUGCAAACGACCGUUAAUCCGGGGGUUUCCGAAUGGGGCAACCCAGUGGGUAACCACUAAUCCUUGACUGAAUACAUAGGUUUUGGAUAGCCAACGCAGGGAAGUGAAACAUCUCAGUACCUGCAGGAGAAGAAAUCAAACGAGAUUCCCUAAGUAGUGGCGAGCGAACGGGGAGUAGCCCAAACCGGGCAUUUAUGUCCGGGGUUGUAGGACCUGCAUUUAGUGCGAAGAUACUAGUCUAACUGGCAUGGAAAGGCCGACCAUAGUGGGUAAUAGUCCCGUUGACGAAAGUUGGCACGCAUGAGCGGGUAUCCUGAGUAAGGCGGGGCACGUGAAACCCUGUCUGAAACUGGGAGGACCACCUUCCAAGGCUAAAUACUCGAUGGUGACCGAUAGUGAACGAGUACCGUGAGGGAAAGGUGAAAAGUACCCAGAGAUGGGAGUGAAAUAGUACCUGAAACCGUAAGCCUACAAACUAUCGAAGGAGUGCAUGACACUCUGACGGUGUACCUUUUGUUUAAUGAGCCAGCGAGUUAGUCGUCAGUAGCAAGGUUAAGGGCCUAAGGUCCGGAGCCGUAGGGAAACCGAGUCUGAAUAGGGCGUUGAGUUACUGGCGCUAGACGCGAAGCCUUGUGAUCUACCCAUGAUCAGGCUGAAGCGGGGGUAAAACCUCGUGGAGGGCCGAACCUUAUCAGGUUGAAAACUGACUGGAUGAAUUGUGGGUAGGGGUGAAAGGCCAAUCAAACUGGGUGAUAGCUCGUUCUCUCCGAAAUAUAUCUAGGUAUAGCGUCACAUUGGAGUCACGGGGGUAGAGCACUGAUUGGACUAGCGGGCACACCAGCUUAGCAAACCCAAACAAACUCCGAAUACCGUUGACUUUAGAUCGCGGCAGUCAGCCUGCGUGAGAUAAGUUUCGCAGGCGAGAGGGGAACAACCCGGACCAUCGGCUAAGGUCCCCAAGUGAAUGCUCAGUGUAAAAGGAUGUGGGAUUACCCCAAGGAUUCCUGGGUAAAGCUAAUCUUCCCAGGGUUAGUCGGCCCCUAAGGCGAGGCCAAAUGGCGUAGUCGAUGGGAAGCAGGUUAAUAUUCCUGCGCCGAUCUGUGUGUUCGAUGGAGGGACGGAGUAGAUACAAUCAGCUUCCUGAUGGAUGGAAGUUUGGGAGCGUAGGGAGAUUGGUAGGCAAAUCCGCCAGUCACAUGCCCGAGACUCCUGAGGAAGUGCGUUGCUUGCAACAAACCAACUGAUUGGAAGGACUUCCAAGAAAAUCUUCUAAGGCAUAGCACAGACGACCGUACCGCAAACCGACUCAGGUGGGUGAGGCGAAUAGCCUAAGGUGCUUGAGAGAACUGAGGUGAAGGAACUCGGCAAAUUAGCUCCGUAACUUCGGGAGAAGGAGUGCCAGAAUGUGUGUAGGAGUACAUCCGAAGCAUUUUCUGGUCGCAGAGAAAUGGCAGAAGCGACUGUUUACCAAAAACACAGGUCUGUGCCAACCCGUAAGGGGCAGUAUACAGACUGACACGUGCCCGGUGCCGGAAGGUUAACAGGAGAUGUCAGCGCAAGCGAAGCAUUGAAUCGAAGCCCCGGUAAACGGCGGCCGUAACUAUAACGGUCCUAAGGUAGCGAAAUUCCUUGUCGGGUAAGUUCCGACCUGCACGAAUCGUGUAACGACUUCUGCGCUGUCUCAACCUCGGACUCAGCGAAAUUGUAGUGCCGGUGAAGAUGCCGGCUACCCGCAUCUGGACAGAAAGACCCUAUGAACCUUUACUGCAACUUGACAUUGGAUUCUGGCUGUAUUUGUGUAGGAUAGGUGGGAGGCUUUGAAGUAGUGCCGCCAGGCAUUAUGGAGCCAACGUUGAAAUACCACCCUGGUGCUGACGGAAUUCUAACCCGACCCAUCAUCUGGGCCGGAGACAUUGUCUGGUGGGCAGUUUGACUGGGGCGGUCGCCUCCAAAAAGGUAACGGAGGCAUCCAAAGGUCCCCUCAGCGUGGUCGGUAAUCACGCGCAGAGUGCAAAGGCAUAAGGGGGCUUAACUGCGAGACCGACAGGUCGAGCAGGUACGAAAGUAGGGCUUAGUGAUCCCGCGGUUUAGCGUGGAAUUGCCGUUGCUCAAUGGAUAAAAGGUACUCUAGGGAUAACAGGCUGAUCUCCCCCAAGCGUCCAUAGCGACGGGGAGGUUUGGCACCUCGAUGUCGGCUCAUCGCAUCCUGGGGCUGGAGAAGGUCCCAAGGGUUUGGCUGUUCGCCAAUUAAAGCGGUACGUGAGCUGGGUUCAGAACGUCGUGAGACAGUUCGGUCCCUAUCCGAUGUGGGCGUAGGAAGCUUGAUGGAACUUGUCCCUAGUACGAGAGGACCGGGAUGAACGCACCUCUGGUGUACCAGUUGUUCCGCCAGGAGCAUCGCUGGGUAGCUAUGUGCGGAAGAGAGAAACGCUGAAAGCAUCUAAGCGUGAAGCUCCUCCAAAGAUGAGGCUUCCCUGGGGGCAACCCCCUGAAGGGCCGUCCGAGACUAGGACGUUGAUAGGUCAUAGGUGUAAGCGCCGCAAGGUGUUAAGCCGAGUGAUACUAAUCGCCCGUGUGGCUUUCAACU